ACCUAUUUAAAUAUCCUUAAAAUAUCAGUGACUUCCCUUCUUCUCUUUCCAGGGUUCAUUUUGCAUAUCUUAAAUCCCUGAAUAUUUUACAUUAACUAAACUAUUCAGUAUUCCAUUAUUACAUCCAUCAAAACUUAUUUACACUGUGUUAGAAACUUUUAGGGUUGUGAGAUAUUAAUAUAUAAUGCUUUUAAAACAUGUAACAUAACUCCUUUUGUUUUGGGGAGUGAAGUAUGGUAAGCUGUCUUUUUAGCUCUGUUGAAUUGAAAAGUUACCAUAAAUUGUGAGCUUUGCAGAGCAGAAUGCAUCAACUUCAGUAAGAAAUAGUUCAGGUAUGCAGGGUAACCAGAGCAUAAUAGUUACAUCUGUGUGUUGGUUUGUAUGUGACUGGAUUUUGCUGGCUAAGAAACAGAGCCUGAGUGCCCAAACUGCAACCCAAAACCCACUUAUUUGUUGCAAUGUGCCAACACUGCAAUUUAACCUGUAUAUCUCAUUUUUUAUGUGUGUUUCACAUUUCUUUGUUAUGACUGCUGUUGUAAUAAAUAAUCCUUCAUAAAAGUUAUUGCAUUAUAUUCUUCAUUAAAUUAUCUUUCCAUUGAGAUAUAAUUUUAUGGUAUAACUCAAUGCUUUUUUUCCUAAAAAGAAAUGUUUAGGGGUACUCUCAUUUUGACUCAAGAAAAUCACCACAGGGGG